GGACUCGUGCAACCGCCAAAACGGUUUGUGUUUAAGGAGAAACUAACAAUGAAAACGGCCUCGUUGACGGAGGAAAAGUUGGAAUGCAGCCUCUGGUGCUGUUUGAGCGAUCCCUCUCCCCGGGGCCUGGCCGCGCGCUGCUGUGUUCUGGAAGGGCUCAUUGUACAGUCAAGGCGGCAGGGCCUUCUUCUGUCACCCAUGCUGGAGUGCAGUAGCAUGAUCACAGCUCACGGUAGCCUCCACCUUCUGGGCUCAAUCCUCCUACCUCAGCCUUCCAAGUAGCUGGGACUACAGACUAGCCCUGCUUGCAACUUCCACGUGCAGUCCUCCGCAAUGCUGCCAGAGCGGCAGCUACAACUCUAUGAUUGAAGGCAUCGCCCUCCUGGUUCUCCAUAUUGUUUGCCAUCUUGGACAGAUAAACUAGAUGAGCUCUUUUUUCAACACUCAGAGAAUGUUUUGAAUUCACAUUUCUGCCAUCUUACUCACCUAUUCGAAUCAGUUCCCUCCCCCUCCCUUGUAUCAAAUAUUGUCUCUGAUAAUAAUACAUUGAGUUAUUUGUAGUUCCUGAAGAAUUUCAUGUUCUUAUAACAUGAAAUUUUUUCCCACACUAUUUGUUAUAACUAGUUUACCUAUUUCUGCCUAAAUAAAAUCUUCUCCAAAUUUCAGAUCAGACAUUACUUUAGGUGAAGACUUUCCAGUCUGACUUCCCUUACCCGAGGUAGGUAUUUAUUCUUUCCUCAUUUCACAGGACUUUGCAAAUCCCACUAUUAUGGUAGAUAGAAUAUUAAAAUCUAAAUUGCUGGC
ensembl:lncRNA novel transcript